CCUACGGGAGGCAGCAGUGGGGGAUAUUGCACAAUGGGCGGAACCCUGAUGCAGCGACGCCGCGUGGGUGAAGAUGCGCCUCGGCGCGUAAAGCUCUGUUAGCAGGGAAGAAAAUGACGGUACCUGAAGAAGAAGCUCCUGAUAACUACGUGCCAGCAGCCUCGGUCAUACGUAGGGGGCAAGCGUUAUCGGGAUGUACGGGGGUUAAGGGGGGCGCAGACGGGUAUGCAAGCCAUGGGUGAAAGCCCAGGGCCCAACCGGGGGACGGCAUUUGACACUGCGUGGCUGGAGUGCAGAAGGGGCAGGCGGAAGUGCUGGUGUAGCGGUGAAAUGCGUAGAUAUCAGGAGGAACACCGGUGGCGAAGGCGGCCUGCUGGACUGCAACUGACGUUGAGGCCCGAAAGCGUGGGGAGCAAACAGGAUUAGAUACCCCAGUAGUC
rnacentral:rRNA from 1 species